ensembl:lncRNA
GUAAGAAGCAGAAACGUUAGCGUUGCCAUGGAUACAUGAGUGUUAAAUUCUGUCCAUGUUUCCAUUUUGGGAACUGCAGUCCAGUUCCAGAAUGUGGAGGAAUUUAGUCUCACAAUCACAGACAACAAAUAUUAUCUGAAAGUCGGGUUAUUGUUGUUUAUCAGCACAAUACAAAAAGAUUAAUGUUAGAAAUAUUCCAGUUAAGACUCUAGAAUAUCAUGAUUUAUGUAAAUUUACCUCAAUAAUAUGAAUGUUCAGGUUAAGAUUGUGCAGUGAUAUUUAUUCUGUAAGUUUAGCUGAUUAAAGUUUAUGACUCUGCACUAAAAUAUUAUUUAAAUUUACAUCAUUAUUAUAAUAUUUAGGGUCAGACCCUACAGUAUUGAGAUUAAGAAAUUAAAUAUUCUAUAAAGUGUAAAUACACUGAACUCAUUUGGAUAUAUUUAAGUGAGACUCUACAAUAUUAUUUGACACAAAUCUAUCUAAAUCAAAAUUUUAAUAAUUUUCACGCCAAACAUUUACCGGACUGAUUGAAAUAUUAAAAUCACUCCUUUCUAAUCCUCUGCUGUACGUUCAAACCUGAGGCCUUAAAUAGAAACACACAAGUAUCUGUUUGAAGGAACUUCUGUAGAAUCCUGGUUCCAGAACAUGAUGAUAGAAUUAUAGACAAACUUUAACAAAAGCUGCCUGAGAGUUUACAGGUUUUUAUGUUAGAUUUCUUCAGUAAUUUAAUGAGUUAUCAGCAAAAAUCAAGUGUUCAUUUGAUGAACUUCAUUUCCUAAAACAUCCAGAAUAGGAGCUCAUAUCUUUGGCAGCUGUAAAGUUUCUGCUCCUUCAAAGUUCACAACACAAUGAAUUAAUUCCUAAAACACUCUCAAUGCUGGAGAGCGUUUGAUGCUGAAGCAGUGACCAGUUUUUCUGUUUCUUCUCUGGAGAUGCACAAUGAGGGACGUCUGCAGAGACUGAGAAAGAGUCUCACCACAUCCUGACAUGAGGAAAAAGACUUUAUUGAAGACUACAAUGAGAAAAACUAUCAGACAGCAGACGGCUGCAUUCAAGGUGAGCUCUGAACAUUUGAUCUAGAACAGGAAUUCAAUAAUGGCAGCAUGAGCUUCAUUUCAGUCUGUAGCUGCUGAAUUCAUGGAUGAAUCAUCUGGCACUAGAGAAGAAGACCAUCAAACAUCCACGUCAGCUGAUGGAGGUCCAAGAGUCUCACCAAACAAACAACCUACAGAGUGAAGACCUCAAAUCUGAUUGGACGGCCUCCUAUUCAGCCACAUUUUAGGCUGUUAGAUUGUUCCAGAUAAGACAAGCACAAGAUACUUCAGAGCCGUUCUACCACGAGCCUGACAGGAAGAACUCCAACAGCUACUGAAUGUUCCUGUGGUUCCCUCAAGGCUACAGGAGGAGUCCUACGAGGACGAGCCGGUCCACCUGAUGUCGGCCAGUCGCUGUGGUUCAAAGCCAACACCGACUACGUGGACUUCUACUGGACCACAUGGAGGCCUUCAAACCAGAC